rnacentral:lncRNA from 1 species
GGAGGUUCCCCAAGAAAUAUGAUCCAGCAAUCCCAAUUCUAGAUAUAUAUCUAAAGGAAACAAAAACCAUUAUCCCAAAAAGAGACUACAAAGCCAAUCAAGAGAACUUCUGAAGCACAACAAAAG